rnacentral:rRNA from 1 species
GACGAACGCUGGCGGCGUGCCUAAUACAUGCAAGUAGAACGCUGAAGGAGGAGCUUGCUCUUCUGGAUGAGUUGCGAACGGGUGAGUAACGCGUAGGUAACCUGCCUGGUAGCGGGGGAUAACUAUUGGAAACGAUAGCUAAUACCGCAUAACAGUAGAUGUUGCAUGACAUUUACUUAAAAGGUGCAGUUGCAUCACUACCAGAUGGACCUGCGUUGUAUUAGCUAGUUGGUGGGGUAACGGCUCACCAAGGCGACGAUACAUAGCCGACCUGAGAGGGGGAUCGGCCACACUGGGACUGAGACACGGCCCAGACUCCUACGGGAGGCAGCAGUAGGGAAUCUUCGGCAAUGGACGGAAGUCUGACCGAGCAACGCCGCGUGAGUGAAGAAGGUUUUCGGAUCGUAAAGCUCUGUUGUAAGAGAAGAACGAGUGUGAGAGUGGAAAGUUCACACUGUGACGGUAGCUUACCAGAAAGGGACGGCUAACUACGUG